CGGAGCGGCCGUCGGUGCAG
rnacentral:siRNA from 1 species